rnacentral:rRNA from 1 species
CCUACGGGAGGCAGCAGUGGGGAAUUUUGGACAAUGGGCGCAAGCCUGAUCCAGCCAUGCCGCGUGCGGGAAGAAGGCCUUCGGGUUGUAAACCGCUUUUGUUCGGGAAGAAAUCCCUUGGGAUAAUACCUCGAGGGGAUGACGGUACCGGAAGAAUAAGCACCGGCUAACUACGUGCCAGCAGCCGCGGUAAU